CCUGCCCUUAACUCUGGGAUAAGCCUGGGAAACUGGGUCYAAUACCGGAUAUGACUCCUCAUCGCAUGGUGGGGGGUGGAAAGCUUUWUUGUGGUUUUGGAUGGACUCSCGGCCUAUCASCUUGUUGGUGAGGUAAUGGCUCACCAAGGCRACRACGGGUAGCCGGCCUGAGAGGGUGACCGGCCACACUGGGACUGARACACGGCCCAGACUCCUACGGGAGGCAGCAGUGGGGAAUAUUGCACAAUGGGCGCAAGCCUGAUGCAGCGACGCCGC
rnacentral:rRNA from 1 species